GGUGUCUCUUUAUGGCUAAUGUUCAUUUGUCUAUGAAAGGAUGAUUACAAAGAGACAUGAUUAAUAACAUUGUGACCAUUGACAGAGAAUUCUAUUAAGAGAGAAAAUGUUUUAGUGAGCAAAAGUUUUGAGACAUCAACUGGAAUGACAUUUGAACGGUGAUUUGUGGUUGAUUUCUGUUUCUGAUAUCAGCCUCAAUUUUUGUGUUUCGAUUU